rnacentral:rRNA from 1 species
UACGGAGGGGCUAGCGUUGUUCGGAAUUACUGGGCGUAAAGCGCACGUAGGCGGCUUUGCAAGUUAGAGGUGAAAGCCCGGGCUCAACUCCGGAAUUGCCUUUAAAACUGCAUCGCUAGAAUUGUGGAGAGGUGAGUGGAACUGCGAGUGUAGAGGUGAAAUUCGUAGAUAUUCGCAAGAACACCAGUGGCGAAGGCGGCUCACUGGCCCGGUACUGACGCUGAGGUGCGAAAGCGUGGGGAGCAAACAGGG